AGGUUCCUUUACUGUUUUGAGCCAAGUUUUGCCUAAUCUGUACUUGUACCUACCUUUGAUUUAAUUGAAUUAAGCAUCUUUUCCUUUUCCUUUGGUAGGUAGGUGGGAUAGGAGUAUAGAUGAGAAAAACGUGGCAACAGGAUUCUUCCAAUGAUGUUAGCACUGGGCACAGACUACUAUGAUGAUAACAGUGCCCCCCUUGCCUUUGACAUCUUGGGGGACUGAGGAACAGAAUCCUGGCCUGCCUGUUAAAAUAUUUUGCAGAUACGAUUAUACCAGAUCCUGGAAACAGGAAAUUACUAGCAAACCAAACGCAAGUCCAGAUGUUUCUGCAAAUGGAAGACAGGAGGCCAUUCUACAUGUGGAAUGGUUGAAGUUUCUGGACAUCAAAUAAACAAAGAGACCUCUUUUCCAAAAUGCAGCCUGCCUCAGACUUCAUUCUCUGCCUGCAUUCUCCUCCUGGCUUGGAAUAAGAAAUAAACCAGAUUUAACCUCCAACAGAACCUGACAAAGGGAAGAAUUGGCAGAACAGAGAGGGAGAUGAUCUGCGCUUUGCCUCCUGGAAUGGACUGGCCUGUUGAUUCCUCCUUUUCCUAGUGUUCCUUCUCCAAAUGUCUUGCUUUUGAGAGACAGGAUCUCAUAGUGGAAGGUGAGAUGUUACACAGUUGCUGGCAGGCUUUAAUGUGAGCCAGCUCUUCUGGAACGUAUGCAGUGUAGCCUACUAGGACCCUUAAAAGGCUGUUGCCUGCCCACCUUUUAACGAGAGCAUUGAGGAAGCCUGCAUAGAAGACCUUCUUCCCCAAGAAGAAAUGCAGUUCAGAAAUUUUCCUGGAUCCAAUGUUUGCGAUGGGAGGGAUUUGGCAUUGUUUGUCCAUUAUGUCUCUUAUUCUGUUUUUCAUGCAGAAGUGAGAGGCUUACUUACCAGAUCCUGAUUAGAAAGCAGUGGGAGGUUUACUUACUCUCUUACUCAAUAAACAUUUCAUUAAUUGGUGAAUAA